rnacentral:tRNA from 1 species
GCGGCGCUGGACGCCGUCGUCCCGGCCGCGUUCCUGGCGCUGCUGUGGCCGCGGCUGCAGAGGGCGUGGUCCGAGCCCGCGGCGCAGCG